rnacentral:lncRNA from 10 species
UUUGUUGUGUAAACUGUUAGCUGAAAGUCACUAAAUUAGGUUACUGGCAUGGAGCGUCUAACACCAUGGGAACUUUUCAAGUGGUAGAAGCAUCUUUGUUAUUCUUGAGCCUCUUGGGUCACCCCUGAGUUUAUGCAAAUGAGGUGGUUCACCGUGGGCCCCUAGGUAGCUUCAGGAGGGGAGCUGCUCACCAGAAAGGACAACUAUGUGAUUAAAGAGUUGAGAUGUGGAGUCAGCCUGACCCCUGAGGAGGAACAGAGGGCUGGAGAUCAACUUCAGUCAUGUGGCCAAUUAUUUAAUGAAUCAUCUCUAUGUAAUGUAACUCCAGCAAAAACUCUGGAAACCGAAGCUCAGUGGUGCUUUCUGGCUGGUGAAUGCACAGAUGUUCUGGGAGGGUGAUGGGCACUGAUUCCAUGAACACAGGGCAGAGAAACUCUGUACUUGAGACCCCCCUACACUUUAUUCUAUGUGUGUCUUUAUUUAAGUGUUCCCAAGUUAU